ACAAGCCUGAGAAACGGCUAGUAGGACUAAGGUCUGCAGCAGGCGCGAAACUUACACAAUGCUAGAUUAAAAUUAGCGAUGUAGUGAAGAAAAAUAACGAUGUACUUCCAUUUAAACAUGGUAGUACAAUUGGAAUGAGACGACUAUAAAUGAGUUAGUCGAGUAACAAAUGGAGGGCAAGUCUGGUGCCAGCAGCCGCGGUAAUUCCAGCUCCAUUAGCAUACAUUAAAGUUGUUGCGGUUAAAAAGCUCGUAGUUGAAUUUUAGGCGGGCUCUAUUGGGGUGCAAUCGUUAAGGUUUUAAUAAUUUAAGUAGCACUUUGGGUGACUUGAUUUUAAAGCUGGUUGUCACCUUCCUAUAGGAACCCGCUGUUUCGUCACUUAAUCGAGUGCGAAGCGGGCUGGAAUAAGUAUGAUAGUUUUAAAGACUAUUAUAUUGUUACAGCAUGUUUACCUUGAGAAAAUUAGAGUGCUCACAGCAGGCAGUUGGGAUGUAAAAGUUCCUUUAUGCUUGAAUAAUGUUGCAUGGAAUAAUAGAAUACGGCCUCGGUUCUAUUCUGUUGGUCUUAUAGAACAACAAACAAGUUGGUUGAAGCGAUAAAACGGUCUAUAUGUGUACGUGGUAAAUGUCUAACUCUCUUAUAUAUUGUAACUUGUUGUCUAGAGGGUAAAAGCUUUAGUACCAUUUAUAAUAUUGGGAUGUUUAGUGUUUUCCAAUUUAAAGCGUCAUAUAUUUAAAGACUAGCUUUCUAAUCAACUGAGGCAAUGGUUAAAAGAAAUAGUCGCGGCGGCAUCAGUACUGCAUCGUGAGAG
rnacentral:rRNA from 1 species